CUAGACCUGCACUUUUGGAGCGGCCGAUGUCUGAUUAGCUAGUUGGUGGGGUAAUGGCCUACCAAAGCUUCGAUCAGUAGCUGGUCUGAGAGGACGGCCAGCCACACUGGGACUGAGACACGGCCCAGACUCCUACGGGAGGCAGCAGUGGGGAAUUUUGGACAAUGGGCGCAAGCCUGAUCCAGCCAUGCCGCGUGAGUGAAGAAGGCCUUCGGGUUGUAAAGCUCUUUCAGCCGGGAAGAAAAGGUUGCGACUAAUAAUCGCAAUUCAUGACGGUACCGAAAGAAGAAGCACCGGCUAACUACGUGCCAGCAGCCGCGGUAAUACGUAGGGUGCGAGCGUUAAUCGGAAUUACUGGGCGUAAAGGGUGCGCAGGCGGUUUUGUAAGUCAGAUGUGAAAUCCCCGGGCUUAACCUGGGAACU
rnacentral:rRNA from 1 species